rnacentral:rRNA from 1 species
CCUACGGGGGGCAGCAGUGGGGAAUAUUGGGCAAUGGGCGCAAGCCUGACCCAGCAACGCCGCGUGAAGGAAGAAGGCUUUCGGGUUGUAAACUUCUUUUCUGAGGGACGAAGAAAGUGACGGUACCUCAGGAAUAAGCCACGGCUAACUACGUGCCAGCAGCCGCGGUAAUACGUAGGUGGCAAGCGUUAGCCGGAUUUAGUGGGGGUAAAGGGCGUGUAGGCGGGAAAGCAAGUCAGAUGUGAAAACUCAGGGCUCAACCCUGAGCCUGCAUUUGAAACUGUUUUUCUUGAGUGGUGGAGAGGCAAUCGGAAUUCCGGGUGUAGAGGUGAAAUGCGUAGAUAUACGGAGGAACACCAGUGGCGAAGGCGGAUUGCUGGACAGUAACUGACGCUGAGGCGCGAAAGCGUGGGGAGCAAACAGGAUUAGAUACCCGUGUGUC